GAUGAACGCUAGCUACAGGCUUAACACAUGCAAGUCGAGGGGUAACGAGAGGAAAGCUUGCUUUCCUUGUCGACGACCGGCGCACGGGUGAGUAACGCGUAUCCAACCUGCCCCCAACUAGGGAAUAACCUUGCGAAAGUAAGACUAAUACCCUAUAAUUACCUCAGAUGUCGUCUGACGAGGAAUAAAGGUUUAUCGGUUGUGGAUGGGGAUGCGUCUGAUCAGCUUGUUGGCGGGGUAACGGCCCACCAAGGCAACGAUCAGUAGGGGUUCUGAGAGGAAGGUCCCCCACAUUGGAACUGAGACACGGUCCAAACUCCUACGGGAGGCAGCAGUGAGGAAUAUUGGUCAAUGGGCGGAAGCCUGAACCAGCCAAGUAGCGUGCAGGAUGACGGCCCUAUGGGUUGUAAGCUGCUUUUAUACAGGAAUAAAGUUAGCCACGUGUGGUUAUUUGUAGGUACUGUAUGAAUAAGGACCGGCUAAUUCCGUGCCAGCCGCCGCUGUAA
rnacentral:rRNA from 1 species